rnacentral:rRNA from 1 species
UACGUAGGGGGCAAGCGUUGCCCGGAUUUAUUGGGCGUAAAGAGCGUGUAGGCGGCCAAACAGGUCAGCUGUGAAAACUCGAGGCUCAACCUCGAGACGUCGGUUGAAACCGUUUGGCUAGAGUCCGGAAGAGGAGAGUGGAAUUCCCGGUGUAGCGGUGAAAUGCGCAGAUAUCGGGAAGAACACCCGUGGCGAAGGCGGCUCUCUGGGACGGUACUGACGCUGAGACGCGAAAGCGUGGGGAGCGAACAGG